AAAUUUUGGCAGCUCAUAUACUAAAAUUGAAAUGAUACAGAAAUUAACAUGGCUCCUGUACAAAGAAGACACAAAUUUGUGAAGCAUUCCAUACUUAA
rnacentral:snRNA from 1 species